rnacentral:misc_RNA from 1 species
UGGUUCUGGCAUCGAUGAAGAACGCAGCGAAAUGCGAUAAGUAAUGUGAAUUGCAGAAUUCAGUGAAUCAUCGAAUCUUUGAACGCACAUUGCGCCCACCAGUAUUCUGGUGGGCAUGCCUGUUCGAGCGUCAUUUCAACCCUCAAGCCCUGCCGCUUGGUGUUGGGAGACUACGUCUGUAGCUCCCCAAAGUUAGUGGCGGAGUCGGUAUCGGCCCUGAGCGUAGUAGUUACAUCUCGCUUCUGAGCCGUGCAGUCCCCUGCCGUAAAACCCCCCAAUUCUCAAAGGUUGACCUCGGAUCAGGUAGGAAUACCCGCUGA